GUGUCAUAUGUGUGUUGAGGUUAGCAUGUCAUAUGUGUGUUGAGAUUAGCGUGUCAUAUGUGUGUUGAGGUUAGCGUGUCAUAUGUGUGUUGAGGUUAGCAUGUCAUAUGUGUGUUGAGGUUAGCGUGUCAUAUGUGUGUUGAGGUUAGCAUGUCAUAUGCGUGUUGAGAUUAGAAUGUCAUAUGCAUGUUGAGGUUAGCGUGUGUGUUGAGGUUAGCGUGUCAUAUGUGUGUUGAGGUUAGCGUGUCAUAUGCGUGUUGAGGUUAGCGUGUCAUAUGCGUGUUGAGGUUAGCGUGUCAUGUGUGUUGAGAUUAGCGUGUCAUGUGUGUUGAGAUUAGCGUGUCAUAUGUGUGUUGAUAUUAGCAUGUCAUAUGUGUGUUUAGGUUAGCGUGUUGAGGUUAGCGUGUAUGUUGAGGUUAGCGUGUCAUG